rnacentral:rRNA from 1 species
GCAAGUCGAACGAAGUAGCAAUACUUAGUGGCAGACGGGUGAGUAACAUGUGGGUAUCUUCCCUUUGGCCUGGAAUAACACGAGGAAACUUGUGCUAAUACCGGAUAAGUCUUUACGGAGAAAGCUUUAUGCACCAUUGGAUGAGCCUGCACUUGAUUAGUUUGUUGGUGGGGUAAUGGCCCACCAAGACUUUGAUCAAUAGCUGAUUUGAGAGGAUGAUCAGCCACAUUGGGACUGAGACACGGCCCAAACUCCUACGGGAGGCAGCAGUGGGGAAUCUUGCACAAUGGAGGAAACUCUGAUGCAGCGAUGCCGCGUGAGUGAAGAAGGCCUUUGGGUUGUAAAGCUCUUUCGUCGGGGAAGAAAAUGACUGUACCCGGAUAAGAAGGUCCGGCUAACUUCGUGCCAGCAGCCGCGGUAAUACGAAGGGACCUAGCGUAGUUCGGAAUUACUGGGCUUAAAGAGUUCGUAGGUGGUUGAAAAAGUUGGUGGUGAAAUCCCAGAGCUUAACUCUGGAACUGCCAUCAAAACUUUUCAGCUAGAGUUUGAUAGAGGAAAGCAGAAUUUCUAGUGUAGAGGUGAAAUUCGUAGAUAUUAGAAAGAAUACCAAUUGCGAAGGCAGCUUUCUGGAUCAUUACUGACACUGAGGAACGAAAGCAUGGGUAGCGAAGAGGAUUAGAUACCCUCGUAGUCCAUGCCGUAAACGAUGUGUGUUAGACGUUGGAAAUUUAUUUUCAGUGUCGCAGCGAAAGCGAUAAACACACCGCCUGGGGAGUACGACCGCAAGGUUAAAACUCAAAUGAAUUGACGGGGACCCGCACAAGUAGUGGAGCAUGUGGUUUAUUUCGAAGAUACGCGCAGAACCUUACCAACACUUGACAUGUUCGUCGCGACUUUA